UGAGUUUCAGGUUGGUAAUCGGGUAUUGGUGAAGCUUUACCAUCACAUGAAAUUGAAGGCGGGCUACCACAAAGCACUCGUGAGAAGGUAUGAAGGUUCCUUCAUCAUCACACAUCGAAUUGGAGAGACAGCGUACCGAUUAUCGCUGCCUUCCAAGCUGAAAGUGCACUCGGUGUUCCACGUGUCCCUAUUAAAACCGUUCAAAGAGGACACAACCGACCCUUCUCGGGCUCAAAGCGGGAGCUCCAGUGGCCGUACGAGUUCAUUGCACCAAGAAGGUUUCUGAAAUCAAGGUGGACAGGAAAAAGGGUAACCGUGUGCAAUACUUAGUCCGAUGGAAAUGACUAUCAGUAGGAGUUGCAGAAGCCGAGGUAGAAAUUUCUCUAGAGUUGGUAUUAACUAGGGUAAUCUCUUUGGACUUUCCCAUGAUGAUGUCCUUAGUCUUGGUAACAGUUAUCCAAUCAAUCAAUUAUUUAUUCUGGUCCUUUGUCUACUUUUAUUUUUCCUGAUCUUGCUACUUAUCUCUGUAUAUCUGGUGGUAAUUUGAUUCACUUGUAAACUUUUAUGCUUCAGAGGCCUGGAUCAUACUCUAUUGCUAUGUGGUGGUCUAUCGGUUGCUGCUGCAGGAAUUUCUAUACAAUAGUUUGAAUUUGAUUUUCCACUACAACUGUUCAUGAAAUACUCUUUCCUUAUAAACUUAUUACUAUUGUUUGACUACUAGAAUUAUUCCGAAUUUGUUUUUUAUAAGAUUCACUUCUAUUUAUUUGCCCCUUUUUCUUCAUAGCUAUUUAUUUGCCCCUUUUUCUUCCUAGCUAUUUCGUAGUAUUAUUUGCUAAUCAAAUUGGAAAGGGCGGAAAUAAAAUAUAAAAAUUUUAUGCUUUGCAAGUUGGAAGGUCCAUUGUUCUGCAGGCUACUGCUGCAGCCUAUUGGAGACUGGACAAGAUUUUUGGAUCGCUAAAUGCCUUUCCUCCUACUCAACUCUGCCAUUUUCUCCAGAAGGUUGUGAUGAUUCUUGGACCCGGGUUUUGCUAUGAAAGGAAAGCGGCUAUUUUCUUGACGACGAGGCAAUCUUGGAUUUGGCAUUCUUGGCUGUUUGUGGGACUCCGUUUAAUUUGGUUCUGGUGGUUAUGUUCUAUAUUGUUUCGAUGUGCUCUCUCUACCUCUUUUCAAUUGUUAAUGUUCUGGCUUGUGAAAUGAUCUCUGACAUGCUAAAUUCAUGGGAAAUCCUAAACCAUUAAGCUUAAAAGGUUGCUAUUUAGGA